AAAAUAUUUCAAUUUGCCCUCCCAAUAGGAUAAUAUUAUCCAACAUUUGUGAGAAAAACAGUGAAAAGAGGCUGCACGAAUUAAUUUUCCAGCCUUACAAGAGAAAAUUAUCCAUCAUAGGAAACAUGUGAAAAUGCCGGAAAAUAUAUUUUUUCUAACAUUUUCUAUCAAAUUAAACACACCCUUAGACCUUAUAUAAAAAUGACUUAUACCCAACAGAUUUUAUGUGUUUCCUCAAAUAAGAAAAGAAAAAGUUUAAAACAAAUUCGGACAAACAAAAUAAAAAAACAGCUUAACUAAAAAGAACUUCUACAGAUAGAGGAGCUCAAACAUUCAUCAAGUACACUACAGGACAACACCAACCGACAAUUAAAAAGAUAAAAUAAAUGACUUACUAGCCUAUAACAACCACCAAAUACUAAACUGAUAAAUU
rnacentral:lncRNA from 1 species